GAUGAACGCUGGCGGCGUGCUUAACACAUGCAAGUCGAACGAACCUUCGGGUGAGUGGCGGACGGGUGAGUAACGCGUGGGAAUCUGCCCUCAGGAGGGGGAUAACGGCUGGAAACGGCCGCUAAUACCCCAUAUGCCGAGAGGUGAAAUGAAUUUCGCCUGAGGAUGAGCCCGCGUCUGAUUAGCUAGUUGGUGAGGUAAGAGCUCACCAAGGCAUCGAUCAGUAGCUGGUCUGAGAGGAUGAUCAGCCACACUGGGACUGAGACACGGCCCAGACUCCUACGGGAGGCAGCAGUGGGGAAUUUUCCGCAAUGGGCGAAAGCCUGACGGAGCAACGCCGCGUGAGGGAUGAAGGCCUCUGGGCUGUAAACCUCUUUUCUCAAGGAAGAAGAUCUGACGGUACUUGAGGAAUAAGCCACGGCUAAUUCCGUGCCAGCAGCCGCGGUAAUACGGGAGUGGCAAGCGUUAUCCGGAAUUAUUGGGCGUAAAGCGUCCGCAGGCGGCCCUUCAAGUCUGCUGUUAAAACGUGGAGCUUAACUCCAUCAUGGCAGUGGAAACUGUUGGGCUCGAGUGUGGUAGGGGCAGAGGGAAUUCCCGGUGUAGCGGUGAAAUGCGUAGAUAUCGGGAAGAACACCAGUGGCGAAGGCGCUCUGCUGGGCCAUAACUGACGCUCAUGGACGAAAGCCAGGGGAGCGAAAGGGAUUAGAUACCCCUGUAGUCCUGGCCGUAAACGAUGAACACUAGGUGUCGGGGGGAAUCGACCCCCUCGGUGUCGUAGCCAACGCGUUAAGUGUUCCGCCUGGGGGAGUACGCACGCAAGUGUGAAACUCAAAGGAAUUGACGGGGGCCCGCACAAGCGGUGGAGUAUGUGGGUUUAAUUCGAUGCAACGCGAAGAACCUUACCAGGGUUUGACAUCCUGCGAACCUCUUGGAAACGAGAGGGUGCCUUCGGGAGCGCAGUGACAGGUGGUGCAUGGCUGUCGUCAGCUCGUGUCGUGAAAAUUUUGGGUUAAGUCCCGCAACGAGCGCAACCCACGUCUUUAGUUGCCAGCAUU
rnacentral:rRNA from 1 species